rnacentral:rRNA from 1 species
GUGCCAGCCGCCGCGGUAAUACGUAGGGUGCAAGCGUUAAUCGGAAUUACUGGGCGUAAAGCGUGCGCAGGCGGUGAUGUAAGACAGAUGUGAAAUCCCCAGGCUCAACCUGGGAACUGCAUUUGUGACUGCAUCGCUGGAGUGCGGCAGAGGGGGAUGGAAUUCCGCGUGUAGCAGUGAAAUGCGUAGAUAUGCGGAGGAACACCGAUGGCGAAGGCAAUCCCCUGGGCCUGCACUGACGCUCAUGCACGAAAGCGUGGGGA